rnacentral:rRNA from 1 species
GACGAACGCUGGCGGCGUGCCUAACACAUGCAAGUCGAACGGGACUUAGUGGAAUGCGGCUUCGGCCAAAGGAAACUAAGUUUAGUGGCGAACGGGUGAGUAACGCGUGAGGAACCUGCCUUUCAGUGGGGGACAACAGUUGGAAACGACUGCUAAUACCGCAUAACAUACACGGACCGCAUGAUCUGUGUAUCAAAGCUUUAUGUGCUGAAAGAUGGCCUCGCGUCUGAUUAGAUAGUUGGUGGGGUAACGGCCUACCGAGUCGACGAUCAGUAGCCGGUCUGAGAGGAUGAACGGCCACAUUGGGACUGAGAUACGGCCCAGACUCCUACGGGAGGCAGCAGUGGGGAAUAUUGGGCAAUGGGGGAAACCCUGACCCAGCAACGCCGCGUGAAGGAAGAAGGCCCUCGGGUUGUAAACUUCUUUUAGCAGGGACGAAGGACGUGACGGUACCUGCAGAAAAAGCAACGGCUAACUACGUG